GCCGUUUGCCACAGCUCAGUGCAAUAGAGAGUAGUCUUUACCGUGGCCACUGAGCAGCUGAGGCACCGGGACUCAGGGAAAUCAAGCACCUGACGCGUCUCACGCGACCGCACCAAAACCAAGGAAGCCGCCGGUGCUUCCCGUCAGGCCCCGCGGAGGGAAGCACCGCCCCGCAGGCGUCGGGUCAAUCUCAGAAGGCGCGCACGGCGCGUCAGGACCCCGGAACCCGCCCCGUUGGGUGGAGGGAGAGAUGGAGAAUCCAGAAGCUCAGACCCAGAAAUGAGAUCUACGUUGACAAGGCUGGUUUUGAAUCCCUGGCCUCAAGCAGUCCUCCUACCUCAGCCUCCCAAAGUGCUGGGAUUACAAGUGUGAGCCACCAUGCUUAGAUGAUACAGGCCUUCUCAAGCACAGACGCACCUUCGCCUUCUUCAUUGUCGGUGUCCUCACCACCAUUCUUGUCUUCACUGUCAAGGUUCAAGUCAUCUGGAAGGUCCAAGGCCUCGGGUUCUGGCAGCUUUUCCUGAUUGCCAUGUGCACCACGUGAACGGUCCUUACCUUCUGGGCAAGCUCCGUAAAGACCUGGGCAAGCACAGAGAGCAGCUUUGCAGUACUACGGUGAGUUGCCAAAGACAUGGUCAGGAAGAAGAGGACGAGGUCUGAGUAGCUGGAGAGGACCGGCACCAGGCGCACCAGCAAGGAACAGGAUUGGCUGAAGAACUGAGAUCAAAACAGAACAAAAGGCCUGCUCACACUGCUUGGCAGGUAACAGAUUUCCGUUCUGGAACUAGACAGUGGUGGUAAUUGCACAACACUGUGAAUGUACUAAAUAGUACUAAUGGCAAGUUACAUGUAUGUGUUUGUAACCCCCACCCCACCCCAAUACACACAGCUCCCUGAGAUUUCUUCAUUUACAUAUAUCGUAACCAAAGUACAAUCUCAAACCAAUGUCUCAUUUGGCUAACAAUGUUGGUUUUUUAAAAAUAUAAUGUUGGCCAGGCACAGUGGCUUAUGUCUUUAAUCCCAGCAUUUUGGGUAGACUGCUUGAGCCCAGGAGUUCAAGUUCAUGUUGCGUGGGCCCUAUAGUGCCAGCUAUUUGGGAGGCUGAGGUGUGAGGAUCACCUGAGCCCAGGAGGUCAAGGCUGCAGUGAGCCAUGGUCACGCCACCACUCUCUAGCCUGGACAACAGAAUGAGACCAUGUCCCAAAAUAAAAUAAAUAAUAAAAAUAAGAUGUUUAUAAAUAAAUUCUGCUGAUUGCAGAAUUGUUAGCACUGGAGGCAAUGCUACAGAAUAACAUACAAUGUUCUGCAAAGUAAGUUGCUUCUCUGGACUUACUGCUAAGACUACAACUGCUUACUCUUCACUUACUGUAGUGGGAAUGGUGUUUACAUAGGGUGGCCGCUAAGCCUCCGUUGAUAACGUCAUCUAUCAGUAAUAUCAAAUAUUUGGGAGUGUGUAAGAUAUGAAAGAAUCCUAAUAGAUAUUCUGAAUGGUUAGCAUUUCUGCACCUAUGCAUCUAACAAUUAGCUAGCAAGCCCUAAGCUUUUCAAAGCUUGUCAAUGACUUUGCACGUAUAAAUAAAGAGAUCAAGUUCUUAGUGAUUUUGGCACUGAGGCCUGCUCUGGGACUUAUCCACGUGCAGGGAGGUGAAGCCCACUCUGCCUCUGCUCAGUGCAUUCUGAAGAGGAAGCAGUUUUGUAAAGAACAGUUAGUUACCAGGUGCUUUGCUGCUGUGCCAUCCUCACCGUACGAUUUCAGCCUCUCCAACAUUUCGGAGAUGGCAGAAAUUAUUUUCUGCACAUGCAAAGUGCUCACAUCGGCCCAGAAGUCAUCCUCUAAGAGUUUUGUUAGAUGUCCUGAUUGCAGUCUCUCAAAGCCUGCUGCCUCAUUCAGAGAAAACAACAUGAUGAAUAACAGAAAACAAAUCCUUUCAUCUCUAUCCAUGUAGUCAUCUGUUUCUAACAUCCAUCCUUAACUAUUUAGCCACAGAAAUAAAUCAUCAAAUACAAAAAUUAAAACAGGCAUGAAACUAAUUUCUGCCUGAUUUCAGACAUACCAUACUCCUCUUGUGGGCUUGCUUGGUCAGUGUUCUCCUCUGCUUUUUCAUUCUUGCUUUCUUCUAAGUUCUGGAUGGCACAGAGGAUGGCUCGGAUAGCAAUUUCCAUUUUCUCUGAAAAAUCUUCCACAAAUCCUUCGUCCAACAUUUGACUUCCUAGCAAGUAACAUGGUGUAAAACAAACAUACAAACACCAAUCAUUUGCUUUAGUGCCUCUGGAAAUCAUUAAAAACACUCAUUUCUUGAUGAGUCACUGAGUCAAGCUGUGCCAGAUACAAAGAAGAGACAAAUUCCUUGCCUCGAUAAACUUAUAAGUUUAUUACCUUGUAUUAAAAAUGUUACGAAAAUAAUGUAAAAAAUAUGAAAAUAACAGUUAAGACAGUAUGAAUAAACACUAACUUAGUCCAAAUAUCAGUGCCAAGCUUUUUCAAUCUAAGGGAAAACUGACAGUGAGCUGAUGCUGCCUUCCUAUGUGUGUUACGAAGUAUGUAACAGGCAUCCAAACAAAUGGGGCAAAAAAGUUAAGAGCUAUGGAUUUCAACCGCACCUCCCUGCCUCAGAACCCUGGACAGGUACGUGUAGCCCAAAACAGAAUGUGUCUUUAGGACAAUGAGACUUACAUCUACAAGACAUCAUUUCUACAGUGGGCUUUCAUUCCCUGACUGAACAAUAUUCCUUACCUCCUUGGCUACCUGAAGUAAGCAGAUGUGUCUUCCAGGUAGUAAAGUCAGCCAUGGCUUUACUAAUUUCUCCUCUUACAUAUUCCAGACUUUCAACUAGUGCCAUUUGUGAGUCUCUUUGCUCAACCUCCAUCCCUGGAAGAAUGAACAAGGACUCUAGGCCCUGUAAAUGAACUGACACCUGGGACAAGCAACUCAGUGCAGAAGAGCACACUUCAAAAUCUUUCCUGCAACAGAAAUGCCACAAUGUUGAAAGGAAUGCAUUACAAUUCCCACAAACACACACCCCUCCCUGCAACCACUAUAAUAUACGCAAGGUAGAACUCACCAUAGCUGAAGUUUAUAGCUAAGCAGAAGUUUACAGCUAAACACAUGCCACAGAGUGCUGUGCAGGUCCACUGAGGAACAGAGGACUGAAGCACAAUUAUUUUCAUAAUUUGAUUCUAUUACUAAACACCUAGGUUUAGUAAUGGAAUAAAUUUAGUAAUUUAUUCCAAUUAAUUUAUUCCAAUAAAUUUAUUCCAUUAAUUUAUUCCAAUAAAUGAUACAUUUAUUCCAUUAAUAAUAUUCCAUUAUCAUUAGUCUUUGGUGUGAUACGCUUUUAUUUUGGACCACCACAAGUAGCAGGAUGUGAUUUGCUCUCCCUGUGGAUUAUUUAGGGCUUUGUCCUGCAUCCUUUUGCUAACUAAAGUCUCAGAACAUGCAGAUGACACUCCCUAUCCCCACCCCACCCCAUCCCCCAAACUGAUGAAUUCCCCAGACUCCAGGACUGUCUAAAAGCUUCUGCUUUCUGUUAACACCCUUCCCCUCCCAUCCCCAAUUUGGAUAAGCACAAUAAGAACCUAAGCACACAGAGAAGUGUAAAAACAUAGACACACUUACCAAGAAUGAAAGAGAGUCUCACAAGACUGCUGCCUAAUUUUGUCGACGUCAGCUUUCACUGUUUUAAUGAUUUUUAGCAUCUCUGUUACUCUCAUAGUUGACUGUUGCCAAAGCUGAUCCUGUUUCCGCAUCCGGCAACCAGAGGGCAGCUGACUUCCAGUCUUUCAGGAGAAGUAUCACGACACAAUUACACCACUACAGUGACUUCAACUAGCAUUAUCUAGUGAAUGUGCUGUACUUUGCUACAUAAACCCUAAUGAAUGGAGGAGAAAAUACCUGAAGCUAAAGUGAACAGUCUGGAAAUACUGUCUCUCAGCCACGAAUCCAUUCAACAGAUGACGACAACCUUCCUAACUGUCCUCAUCUCUCAAUUAUCUGUUUCCAUUGAGGAGCCUCCAUGUAUGGCUCAGAUUGCCAUUUGGGGGAUCCCCAAAGCCUAAGUAACAGAGGCCAACUCAAAUCUCAUCUGUGCCCAAGACUGUCCCACCCUAAUACCAUGAACACAAGCCUAACCAUUGGCCCACAUGGACUUUCGGCAAUAUAUAUCCUCAUUCCAGACACAGGUAUAGUUCAGCCAUGACAAUUUUCACUGUCUGACACAGCCCUGAAAUCUCCACAGCUCCAUAUUCUCAGGAGGUUCAGUCAGAGCACAGAGGGAGAGGGACACUAGAAGCAUAUCACUGAAAACAAGGGGCAGAGCUGGGAGAAACCCUAUGUGCCUCUUAGGGCCUUAAAUUCAUUUCACAAUUGAGAGCAUGUCUUAUUCCUCUCCCCAUGUGCAACAACUCUGAGCUGACUUGUAUCUAAUUCUUCUGAAUUCAUGCCACAAGCCCAACUCAUCGGCUGAUACCUGAGGAUGAUCCACUGCUCACUGAGCGUGGUCAGGGAGCGCCGCUGUUGGACGAGCAUCUUCAUCAAAUGUGCUGAGAACCCUCUGCACCGCUCCACGUUGCCCAUGCCCAUUUCCUGGCAGAAGAAGGAAAAACAUACUGAAGGGGCUGCUGGCAAACACCCACAAAUGUGCCUCUAGAAAGUUGUUUCUACUAUAAGCAUCAGACAUGCCACACUCUAGAGGUGACACAUUCAUUUUUUUGAGCAGUGUUUCUCCAAUUAUGCUUGCACCAAUCAUUAAUAUUCCAUACAAAGGAACUGGAUUUAACUCCAAAAUGCAUUUAUUAGUGGUCUUUUCUCAAUUCUCAAAGGGAAGAAAGAUCUAAAGAUGGCAUUCUCAAUUUGAAGUUUUUAAUUUUUCUUAAACAUUAAGAAAAUUUGUCCUGCUGGCAAGUGUAACAGAAUUUAUUUAAGGUGUUCUCUGAUUUUGCACAAAAUUACAUUGACAUUUAUUUUAAGUUAAAGGAUGUACUGCAAAAAGCUCAGUUCCACUAACAGGCUGUUAUCACUUAACAAGGUCUGAGAAUGCGGCCCUAGGAUGAACAGAACAAGAGCUUUCCCUGAGCCCCUGCAAGACUCAUGUUCUAUCAUUCUACCUUGGCAGGAGUUGCUAGUGCUGCGUUAAGCCUGGCAUGCCGUGCAAGAGAGCGAUAAAAAUACUUCUGGCAUCCAUCCCAUGAAGACGAGAUUUCUGUAAGCAGCCUGGAAAAGAUAUCAACAUCAUUUACUUAAUUAAAACCACGCUCUCCCACCCCAGAUCCUGAAAAACUCAGAUACUGGUAUAUUUGGCCAUAACCAAGAGUCAGCUGUCUGAGGUGGUUUACUUCUAUGAGGACUCAUUCGGUGAGGCACUCAUUAGUCCUUUACUUAACUUAGCACUGGAAGUAUCAUGAGGAAAUAAAUUUUGCUGAUAAUAUGGUUUCUUCAAUGAAAUCUUCCUAUCUUGGCAGUGGAGGCUAGGGGGUCAUAAACUCUGAUGCCUACAGGGGCCAGGCAAAUAACGUAAGAGGACCGAGGACAGCCAAGCACAAAAUGAUGCAUGGCAGUGACAGCUGACCUCAAUGUGGGGAAGACACAGGGGUUGUUGAGGGUUCAAGUAAGCUGGAGAGCAUGUGUCCUUUCAAAAGGAGGAAACUACUAUUCAGCUACAACACUGCUGACCAAAUGGGAAUGCAAGCCUACUUGGCAAAUUUUCCUGAAAACCCGAAAAUCCAGAAUACUUAUGUAAAAUUUCCCUUCCACAAUAUUCUGUUGAAUUCAAAUUUAGAGCCCUAGGAGGGCCAACUGAGCAAAUAAAACACACACGUGUACUAUACCCAGUUCAUGCAAAGCAUAAUUCACAACAUCCUCUGCAGUGCUGUAAAUAGAGGUAGCUCUGCCUGUCUCAAUAGUGUAUGGACUUGCAAAUUCAAUAACAUUAGAACUUAUGAGGAGUGUAUGUAUAUACAGCAACUAAAAAUAUACCAUUUUCUAAUACAUUUCCACACGUAUAAUCAAAUGAAGUGAGUAGACCUCAGGAAAAUCAAGACAAAAAAAAAAAAAAAGAAGAAGAAUGGAGAGGUGAA